GUCUAUGGCCAUGCUACCCUGAACACGCCCAAUCCUGUCUGAUCUCAGAAGCUAAGCAGGAUUGGGCCUGGUUAAUACUUGGAUGGGAGACCACAUAGGAAGACCAGGUGCUGUAAGUG
rnacentral:rRNA from 1 species